GACGAACGCUGGCGGCGUGCUUAACACAUGCAAGUCGAACGGAAAGGCCCUGCUUUUGUGGGGUGCUCGAGUGGCGAACGGGUGAGUAACACGUGAGUAACCUGCCCUUGACUUUGGGAUAACUUCAGGAAACUGGGGCUAAUACCGGAUAGGAGCUCCUGCUGCAUGGUGGGGGUUGGAAAGUUUCGGCGGUUGGGGAUGGACUCGCGGCUUAUCAGCUUGUUGGUGGGGUAGUGGCUUACCAAGGCUUUGACGGGUAGCCGGCCUGAGAGGGUGACCGGCCACAUUGGGACUGAGAUACGGACCAGACUCCUACGGGAGGCAGCAGUGGGGAAUCUUGCACAAUGGGCGGAAGCCUGAUGAAGCAACGCCGCGUGCGGGAUGACGGCCUUCGGGUUGUAAACCGCUUUCGCCUGUGACGAAGCGUGAGUGACGGUAAUGGGUAAAGAAGCACCGGCUAACUACGUG
rnacentral:rRNA from 1 species